rnacentral:rRNA from 1 species
AGAGUUUGAUCAUGGCUCAGGAUGAACGCUGGCGGCGUGCUUAAUACAUGCAAGUCGGACGGAGAUUGCAGUGAUGUAAUCUGAGUGGCGAACGGGUGAGUAACGCGUUGGUGACCUGCCCUAGAUCGUGGGAUAACAGUUCGAAAGGACUGCUAAUACCGCAUGAAGUUACGGGAGUUAGAGAGCUGUAACGAAAGGCGCGAGCCGAUAUAGGAGGGACCUGCGUCCCAUCAGCUAGUUGGUGAGGUAACGGCCCACCAAGGCGACGACGGGUAGGGGGCCUGAGAGGGUGACCCCCCACACUGGCACUGAAACACGGGCCAGACACCUACGGGUGGCAGCAGUAGGGAAUAUUGGUCAAUGGGCGAAAGCCUGAACCAGCAACGCCGCGUGCACGAUGAAGGCCUUCGGGUCGUAAAGUGCUUUUCGGGGAGACGAGGAAGGACGGUAUCCCCGGAAUAAGGAUCGGCUAACUACGUGCCAGCAGCCGCGGUAAAACGUAGGAUCCGAGCGUUAUCCGAAUUCACUGGGCGUAAAGCGCGUGCAGGCGGUUCGGUAAGUUGGAUGUAAAAUCUCCUGGCUCAACUGGGAGGGGACGUUCAAUACUGUCGGACUAGAGGACGGCAGAGGGAGGUGGAAUUCCCGGUGUAGUGGUGAAAUGCGUAGAUAUCGGGAGGAACACCAGUGGCGAAGGCGGCCUUCUGGGCCGUACCUGACGCUCAGACGCGAAAGCUAGGGGAGCAAACGGGAUUAGAAACCCCGGUAGUCCUAG